AUUGAACGCUGGCGGCAUGCCUUACACAUGCAAGUCGAACGGCAGCACGGACUUCGGUCUGGUGGCGAGUGGCGAACGGGUGAGUAAUGUAUCGGAACGUGCCCAGUCGUGGGGGAUAACGUAGUGAAAAUUACGCUAAUACCGCAUACGAUCUAUGGUUGAAAGCGGGGGAUCGCAAGACCUCGCGCGAUUGGAGCGGCCGAUAUCAGAUUAGGUAGUUGGUGGGGUAAAGGCCCACCAAGCCAACGAUCUGUAGCUGGUCGGAGAGGACGACCAGCCACACUGGAACUGAGACACGGUCCAGACUCCUACGGGAGGCAGCAGUGGGGAAUUUUGGACAAUGGGCGAAAGCCUGAUCCAGCCAUUCCGCGUGCAGGAUGAAGGCCCUCGGGUUGUAAACUGCUUUUGUACAGAACGAAAAGGUUUCUACUAAUACUAGGAGCUCAUGACGGUACUGUAAGAAUAAGCACCGGCUAACUACGUGCCAGCCGCCGCAGUAA
rnacentral:rRNA from 1 species